UUUGUAAUGUCAUUUACACUAACCCAAACUAAACGUUUUCGAAACGUUCGUAAAAUAACGUUUUUUAAAAGUCACUGUCACGUAUUUUUAACGUUAUUAGUGUGACGUUAAAAAGACGGUAUACGAUUAGACGUUUUUGUAACAUUUCGUUUGUAACGUUAUUUUAAAGAUUAUUUUAAAGAAACUAAAAGUUACGUUUUUAAAUAACAAUAUUACAAUAGCGUCGUUAGCAUAGUAGUUUUAAAGACGAGCUAAUUUAAACCCCCAGGGAGUAACAUAUUCAACAAAACACGCGUGGUGCGUAGCCUUUUGUUUUAAUGCGAGCAACUUGUCUCGUUGUCCCAUUCACAACAUCGCUUCCAGAACUCUGUCUCUUUUACUUUUGCCUUGGUAGUCAAAAGAGAAAAGGAAUCCGGGGACGAGGUUAAAGACCAUCAGCCAUUGCGAGCUAUGAGCGCAGAUGGUUCAAUUUUGUGAGCACAUGGUCUAGUGGGCAAUAAUGAUAGCGGAAAGAGGUAGCGGUGGAAAGUUGUUUAUAUUUUAUGUUAUGUAAAUGUACGUACAGGAUUUUGAUGACUUGGCUUUUGUGUCAGUGCUGUAAUGACCUGCAUGCUUAGCCUGCCGUACAAAUUUUCGUCCUUACCAGACCGAUGUGGAAAAGGUGCAUAAAAAAGCAACACGUGAUAGAAACCUCAAAGGAGAAAAAAAUUUAUUAUUUAUUAUAAUUUAUUAAUAUUUAAGUAAUACUGAUAUUUUUUAUGUGUUCCAUAAUAAUUAACGUUUAAAUUAAA